rnacentral:rRNA from 1 species
AUCGAUGAAGAACGCAGCGAAAUGCGAUAAGUAAUGUGAAUUGCAGAAUUCAGUGAAUCAUCGAAUCUUUGAACGCACAUUGCGCCCUCUGGUAUUCCGGAGGGCAUGCCUGUUCGAGCGUCAUUACAACCCUCAAGCUCUGCUUGGUAUUGGGCCUCGGGCGUCAGCCCGUGCCCUAAAAUCAGUGGCGGUGCCAUCUGGCUCUAAGCGUAGUAAAUUCUCUCGCUAUAGACGUCCGGUGGAUGCUUGCCAAAACCCCCAAUUUUUUACAGGUUGACCUCGGAUCAGGUAGGGAUACCCGCUGAACUUAAGCAUAUCAAUAAGCGGAGGAAAAGAAACCAACAGGGAUUACCUCAGUAACGGCGAGUGAAGCGGUAACAGCUCAAAUUUGAAAUCUGGGUCUUUUAGACUCCGAGUUGUAAUUUGUAGAAGAUGCUUCGGGUGUGGCUCCGGUCUAAGUUCCUUGGAACAGGACGUCAUAGAGGGUGAGAAUCCCGUAUGUGAUCGGUCGCCUAUGCCCAUGUGAAGCUCUUUUGACGAGUCGAGUUGUUUGGGAAUGCAGCUCAAAAUGGGUGGUAAAUUUCAUCUAAAGCUAAAUAUUGGCCAGAGACCGAUAGCGCACAAGUAGAGUGAUCGAAAGAUGAAAAGCACUUUGGAAAGAGAGUUAAACAGUACGUGAAAUUGUUGAAAGGGAAGCGCUUGCAACCAGACUUGCGCGUUGCCGAUCAUCUGGGGUUCUCCCCAGUGCACUCGGUUUCGCUCAGGCCAGCAUCGGUUUUGGUGGUUGGAUAAAGGCCUUGGGAAUGCAGCUUCUUUCGGGGAGUGUUAUAGCCCUCGGUGCAAUGCAGCCUACCGGGACCGAGGACCGCGCUUCGGCUAGGAUGCUGGCGUAAUGGUUGUAAGCGACCCGUCUUGAAACACGG